AUUCUCUUAUCCUUAAAAGAUUGAGAUCCUCUUAUCCCAAAAAAAAAAAAGAGUUUCAACCAGAAAUUCCUUCAAUCAGACAUCUUUUUAAGAUCAUAUACGAUCUGGGUAUUGAUUAAAACAGAAAAUGGUGGAGAAUUUCUGUAAGGAGUUGAAGUUCUUAAUUUUUCAGG